CGCGCACACUGUGCAGGCGCGCCAAACCGAUCCACCGUGCAGUGCGAGAAGGGGAUGCGGGACGCGCGGGAGGAGGGCCGCUGGCCGCGUCGCUUCGCCGGGGCCGCGCGCCGGUCUCUUUCGCCACCGGCACCGGACGAGUGCACACGUCGUGAUUAACCUAAUAUUUUUGUAUAACGCCAAUCGCCACACGUCGUAACUAUGAAACCUAUAACCUACAAUCUACGCCGAGCGGCGCGCAGCGGGCUAAGUGAGGACGGCGGCAACACGUGCAGCCAACGUGUCUCCGCGGACCACGCCGUACCACCACCACGAGUUCUACGAAGACGCAGACUACAACAGCAGGCGGCAUCAGACGGCGGAGGUCUAACCCGAGGGAAGUUGCUCGUUUCCUAUUAUUUCCUAUCCUUUUCCUAGUGUUUAUUUGUGUGAAUAGCCUAGCGGGCUUAGGUACUAUUCGUUAAUUAGCUUGCCUAUAUUCAAAAUGGUACAAAUUUUGCUUUUCUAGCCUACGACGCUAUAGUGGGCGAGUCCAUUAUUUUUGUGCCGCGUUUUCUAACCUACGACGCUAUAGUGGGCGAGUCCAUUUUGUGCCGCGUGUGUGAAAUUGCAUAGCCUAAACUUAAUUUCAUUUAAAUCGUGCAUCCUAAACUACGUGUACGCCUAAUUAAUCUAAAAGCAUCUAUAUUAAUGCACCUAAUAAUUAUUUAUUGUACACACUAAAAGUGUACCUACGCCUAAUGCACUAUAAGCAUAUCUACCUAAGCAUAUUAAUUUUGCAAAUUGAGGUUUUGGUUCUAAGUAUUUACCAAAAUACAUGCCUAUUGCCUAAUAAAAGUAAAUUCCUAACUAGCGCAACAAUUAAUACAGUUAUUAUACCAAAGCUCGCCGACUAUUUCAGUUGCGGUGAAUGUGCAUGUGCUUCGCUCAACCAACUGCUAGCUACCUGCAGCCUGUCUACUAAUCGCAGCGCAGGUGCCUGGUGAGUGCUGCCUACUUCGUGCUGUCACAGCUUCAAAAGGUUACCGUGAGUUAGCGGCUUUGAGUUUCUAUUGUAAUCUGUGCCUACCCAUUCAUUGUUGCCUCUAAAGUGUUAGGUAGUUUAUUCUUUUAACUAAAUUUGUACCUAAUUACAAAAAAUAUUGUGUUAGUGAGUUAUUCAAAAUGAGUGAAAGUGAAAAGUCAGAGAUUCAAGUUCCUAUUAGAAAACGUAGUGCCAUCAAAGGCCAAGUUACAAAAUUCUACAACUAUUUACAAGAGAUAUCUAAAAAUACUCCAAUUAGUAGCUUGCAGUCUAAAGAAAUUGUUUUAAAAAUAGAGAAAUUUCAAACUUUAUUAAGUACAUUUGAUAUCUUGCAAACUGAAAUUGAAUUGAAUUGCUCAGAUUUAGAGGAACAGUUAGCUGAGAGAGAAUUAAUUGAAGAAAAUUUUCAUAAGUGUAUUGCAUUGGCUCAAGAAAUAAAUGAAUCAGCGAGUGUUUCAAAAACUGAACAUCAAAAGCAUGAGUCAGAAUAUGGUAGUGUAAAUAAUAGUCAAUGUAGUCAUAGGUUUAGUUCAGUAAAAUUGCCCACAAUAAAAUUGCCAUCUUUUGAUGGAAAUUACCUUAAAUGGCUGGAAUUUAGAGACACUUUUGACAGUUUAAUUAAUAGUAAUGAAAAUAUUCCUAACAUAAACAAGUUUCAUUAUUUAAGGUCAUCCUUAGAAGGAGGAGCACUAGUAGUUAUCAAAUCAAUAGAAUUCACAUCUAACAAUUAUAAAGUAGCAUGGGAUUUAGUUUGUCAAAGAUAUAAUAAUAAAAAUUUACUUAUAAAUAAUCAUUUAAAAGCAUUAUUUAAUAUAGAAGCCUUAACAAGAGAAUCUCACAAAGCUUUAAGAUUCUUAAUUGAUUUAGUUUCAAAAAACUUAAGAGCACUAAAUACUUUAGGGCAGCCAACAGAUAAAUGGGAUGCUUUAAUUAUUUAUAUGGUGUCCACAAAGCUAGAUAGCACCACUAGUAGAAAGUGGGAAGAAUUAAAAAAUGGGUUACCAGAAUUACCCACUUUAGAGCAAUUCAAUGAUUUCUUGCGUAACAGGGCAGAUGUUUUAGAAACAACACAAGUUCAAAAUAUAAGUAGGAAUGAUAAUUAUAAAUCACAAGGUCCUAGGGAGCAAAAGUAUUCUAAUUCUAAGUCCUUUGUUAGUUCAAUGAGUAACAACAAUUCUUACAAAAAGUCAUGUGAUAUUUGUCAUGAAAGUCAUCAUUUGCAUGCAUGUUCAAAGUUUAAUGAUAUGUCAACUGAAGCUAGGUUAGAUACAGCCUUAAAGUUGAAUUUAUGUCUCAACUGUUUGCGAAGUGGACAUACUGCAAAACAUUGCUUCCUAAAAGGUUCCUGUAAAUAUUGUAAUAAGAAACAUAACUCUUUGUUGCAUAAAGAUUCUACUGUAGGAUGUAGUAGUAGUAGUUCAAAUACAAAUAAUAAUAACUUACCUUCAAAUACUUUACCCACAACACUUUCAGCAGUCUCUGCAAGUCAGGUACUAUUAUGUACAGCUAUAGUGGAAAUUGUAAAUCCUGAAAAUAAUAUUUCUUACCGUGCUCGAGCUCUCCUUGACACAGGUAGUCAAUCAUCGUUUAUUACAAAUAAAUUCAAAAUAAAGCUAGGUCUACAGACACAAUGUUCAAACCCAAUACGUAUCGCUGGCAUUGGUAAUGUGCAGUGUGACAUUACAGAGAGGUGUAGUUUGAAAUUAUUUUCAUGUAUUGAUAAAUCAUUUAACUUAGAAAUGAUGUGUUUAGUAGUACCACAAAUAACUAGUAGUUUACCAACACUAAAAGUUGAUGUUAAAAGUUUAGGGCUGCCGGCUAACAUAAUCCUUGCAGACCCUGAGUUCCAUUGUCCCUCCGAUAUUGAUAUGUUAUUGGGGGCAGACGUUUUUUGGGAAAUAGUAGGUACCCAACAAAUAGGAUUGGGUAGACAUCGGCCUAUAUUACAAAGCUCUAAGUUAGGCUGGCUAGUAACUGGCCCUAUAGGAAUAGGACAGUCUAAUUUGUCACAUGAAAAUUCAUAUAUUAAUGUUUUAAAUUGUAGUAUUAUAAAGGAUGAUAUUCAUGAUUCAUUACAAAGAUUUUGGGAGGUAGAAGAAUUGCCUUCAAAUAAAAUAUCUUACACGCUUGAAGAACAAGCAUGUGAAAACAGUUUUAAACAAAAUACAAGUCGCUUGCCAAGUGGUAGGUUUUUAGUUAAAAUGCCACUGAAAGAAUCACCAGAGGAAGCAUUAGGUGAUUCAUAUAAUAUAGCCAAAAGGCGUUUUUUUAGUUUAGAAAACAAGUUAGAUAAGAAUCCUAAUAUUAAGAAACAAUAUGUAGAUUUUAUUAAAGAAUAUUUAGAUUUAGGUCAUUUGGAAGAAAUAGAGCGUCCAAGGUUCGGUAAUUAUUUACCUCAUCAUGCAGUAUUGCGUGAAAAAAGCGAAACAACAAAGUUAAGGGUAGUUUUUGAUGCCUCAGUAAAAACAACCUCUGGAAAAUCACUAAAUGAUAUCCAGAUGAUAGGUCCAGUAAUACAAAAUGAUUUAUUUAAUAUUAUGGUAAGGUUUCGUACUCACAAAUUUGUUUUAACCGGUGACAUAGAGAAAAUGUAUAGACAAAUUUCUAUUGAUGAGUCACAACGUCAUUUACAAUUAAUUUUGUGGAGGGAAGAUACAUCUCUACCACUUAAAGUUUUACAAUUAAACACUGUAACAUAUGGUACAGCUUCAGCACCUUUCCUAAGUACUAGAUGUCUAUUGCAAUUAGCUGAAGAAUGUACAGAUAUGUCUAUUGCUAAUAUAAUUAAGAAUGAUUUUUAUUAUGAUGACCUAAGUACUGGAGCAUCUACAGAAGAUGAACUAUUGAAAAUCUAUAACUCUGUGACUGAAAUAUUAAGUUCAGCAUCAUUCCCAUUACGCAAAAUACGCACUAAUUGUCCAAAAAUAUUUGAAAAUGAUGUAAAUAAUAAUACAUUAAAUCUAACUAAACAGUCAUGUGUACUAGGGUUGAAUUGGUCACCUACAGUAGAUUUGUUUACAUUUCCUAUAGACAUAAAUAUAGAUUCAUUAAAUAUUACUAAGAGAACAAUAAUAUCUACAACUUGUAAAAUCUUUGACCCUUUAGGUGUCUUGUGUGCAUGUAUCAUUACUGCCAAAAUAAUAUUACAACAAUUAUGGAGCGCUAAGAUAGACUGGGAUGAUUCAGUACCUGAUGAUAUUAAGAAUUCUUGGAUUAAAUUUACAAAAAACCUUUCAGAUCUAUCAAACAUAAAAUUGGAAAGAAAUGUUAUCUGUGACUUGCCAAUAUCAGUAGAGCUGCAUUGUUUUGUAGAUGCAUCACAGAAUGCAUAUAGUGCUUGUGUUUAUUUAAGGACAACUAAUAAUAAUAAUCAAAUUACAGUUAAGCUGUUAUGUGCCAAGGCUCGAGUGGCUCCAUUGAAGCCAACCACCAUACCUCGCUUGGAGCUGUGUGGUGCCUUACUCGGAGCAAGGUUAUGUGCAAAAGUUUUAGAGUCACUACGUUGUAAUAUUAUCAGUAAAACUAUUUGGACCGAUUCAAUGGUAGUACUUGGUUGGCUAAAGGUUCAAUAUAAGCAUCUAAAACCUUUUGUUCGUAAUAGAGUAAAUGAGAUCAAUGAAAUUACAGCAGACUAUUCAUGGCGACAUGUGCCUACUGACUGUAACCCUGCUGACCUAG